UUUGGUGUUUGGCGUAUGCGACCCUCCCUAAUCCCUUCAUCUAUGCUAAUCGGCCAUUUGCAUAAUCUAAAAGCUUUAUAACAGGUUGUGAUAAAUAUCAAUAAACGGAGAGUUAAAUGACUCUUAUCUUGUCUUCUCUGCUUCCUCCCUGGCUUGGCUCCUUCUUAGCCGGCCAUUAACCCAUUUGACAGAGCAAGGAUCUCUCCAUUCUUUGCUAUUUUAUUGCCGAUUCAGUUCAAUUCUAAUGGAAUUUUACGUGAUAAUUUCCUCCGCUGUUGCUGCAAAUCUGUGAAUCAGAAGGGCUAAGCCAAACAGAAUCCAGAAAAAGAGUUGUGGUGCACAUACCAAGAUGUUUUGUAUAUGCUCUAUGUGACUUGAGUUAUUAUUUUGUGGGACAUGGACUAUUUUGUUUUCUAGCUCUUUUCCACUGAUUCAUCAUCUUCCAUUACUUAUCAGUUAGUGACAUUUCCUUUCUGAUGGACGUUUCACAAAGCAUGCUUGAUGGUUAAGUGCUAACAACUCCAUUUUUGCA